CGUGCUGUUUGUCUGCGUGUGUGCGUGCGUGCGCGUGCAGUGCUACGUGACUACAGGAACGUACCGCUUUUCAGUUUAAGCAGAUCUGCGGGCUAAACACCACCACAUAGCGGCCAAAGCGAGGCCACAGGCGGCACGGCAUUUUGAUGUGAAUUCCGGCUCUUUUAGUUACAAUGAUGCUCCAGGUGCCAUAGUGAGCUGACAAAACCUGCAGACGGGGUACUGGCAGGAAAAACAAAGCACUUCAGCUGCAUGGAUGUGAUGCCUGUGGCUCUCUCAAGUGCAACAAAGACCAACAUAAACUAUGUGCACUUACCUCGUUGACCAUUCCUGGUGUCAUCACAGCCACAAUUAUCAAAGUCUCCCAGGCUGCAGUUCCUUGUGAGAGUGUACAUAACCCCAGCAGAACUGAUGGCAUGAACAAAAGCUGUCUCCCGGGUUGCUGCAAAUAGAAAUGAGCUUGAAGCUAUUUCUGUUUCAUAUUUUUGUUCCAUAUCAGCACAUUCUGAAAAUAUUAAUUUUUAUAUCUAUUAACUCCACCUGCAUUUCCAUGUAAAGCACGAUAUUAAACACUUAUUUAUGACUGUUUAUGGGUUUGUUUGUCGAAUCAAACAGUGAAGCACACAGUUGGCAUAAGCUCAGCAGUCUCUCAAUUAGGCAGGGGUCAGCACUAAACUGGGUCAGGUUUCCUUUUAGCACUUGAAGAAUUCCCAGUGAAAGGAGUCUAAGGCAAACCUUUGACCCACACCCUUCAGAUUAAGAGGACAUCCA